rnacentral:lncRNA from 1 species
AAUGACAGCCAUUCUAACAGAAUUCUGGGAAUGGGGAGCAUCCCACCUUCCCACGUGUCCUUGUGCUCCUGAGGGCACCGGAGGAGUGACCCCUACAGGAGCCCCUGUGGCAAGGGGAGGUGUUCUCUACCCAAACCCCUCACCUCUUGAGAGCAUAUUAUUCUCGGUGCCUCUCUCUCCUGUCCCCAGGUCAGAGACUAUUCCGGAAAUCAAGAACCAAUCCAGAUGUUUGGACAUGAACGUUCACCUUGUUAUUUUCCUGGAGGAGGGAAGAAAAGAGGGUGGUUCUUGCUCCAAUGGAGAAACCAGCAGAUACAGCCUCUUCAAAGCUGCCUGGUUCGUGACAUGCCUCCCCAAACCACGGGACACUGAACCAUGACUCUGGGGUUCAUGAUGGAGCUGAGAGAUGAGCCUUUGUGAGCAUGCGGGUGGACCCAUAAGCCCCAACAGCCUACAGUAACAGUAAAGCUGAAUUGUCUCUAGCAGACGCUACGAGAGUUCUUGCGGGAGAGAUCAGGGCGGGGAGGGGAAAGGCUUCCGUCAGAGGGCAGGAUGCAGGAUGCUCUCAUUGGUUAUGAAGGUUUAGAUGAUUAAGAGGAAGGAAGCUUAACCGGAACCACUUGUCUUUUCUAGCUCUUUAAUAAGUAAACCCUCAUUUUUGAAGAUCUGCCGCCCACUGGUGCCUUAUCUAAAUGUUGAUGCCUCUUUUUGGGCAGUGAGCUCAAAUGAGCCAAUUGCUGCUAAUUGGAGACAGGAUUGUAACUGCCAAUUACUGAGCACUCCUAGCAUUUUACCUGCCUGGCUUCACUCAUACUCACCAGAGCCCUAAUAUAAAUGUUUUUACAGACUGGGAAACUGAGGCUUGGCUAGAUCACCUAAGGCAAUGCGUAAGUGCUAGAGGUAUAAUUGGAUCCAGGCCAGUCUGACUUCAAAGUCUGUGAGUGUAAGCAGUGGACACUUUCUAGUGCAUGAGUCUUCUGUUUGUGACCAGUAGCACUGUGCCUCCCCACCUCAUGUCUCACCUGCCCUCAUUGCAUCUGGGGAAGAAGCAGGACCCGCGGCAUGUUCUCCAUCUUCUGAAUGACAGCAACAAGUUACUGAGAUCCAUCCUUUCGUUCUUUCCACCAGUAUUUGAGUGUUUGCUGAAUAAGCACAGUGUGAAAGAUGCUGUGCUGGGUAAAGGAGUGUCAGUGUGCACAGGCACUCCUGGAAUGGAACCCACAAUGGGUUCCCAGGCUCCGCGAUGUGUGAGGGGGGCCCAGUGUCCUUAGUUCCAGCCUGGAGCCAAGUCCUCUACUCUCUGGGGAGCCUUAUCAUUCAGGGGAGAGACCUCUGACCAAGCUAUGUGACCUCGGGCCGAUCCCUUCCUUCCUCUGGGG